GACGAACGCUGGCGGCGUGCCUAAUACAUGCAAGUCGAACGCAGUGGGGACGGGUGAGUAACACGUGGGUAACCUCCCAUCAGAGGGGAUAACACUUGGAAACAGGUGCUAAACCGAUAUUGAUGGCUGGACCCGCGGUGCAUUAGCUAGUUGGGGAGGUAACGGCUCACAAGGGCCACGAUGCAUAGCCGACCGUGGAGGUGGAUCGGCCAAAUGGGAACUGAGAAACGGCCCAGACUCCUACGGGAGGCAGCAGGAGGGAAUCUCCGGCAAGGAACGAAAGUCUGCCCGAGAAACGCCGCGGGAGUGUAGAGGGUUUUCGGAUCGUAAGACUCUGUUGUUAGAGAAGCGGUAUCGAACCAGAAAGCCACGGCUAACUACGUGCCAGCAGCCGCGGUAAUAC
rnacentral:rRNA from 1 species